GUAGCCGGGGAGACCCCGAUGGACUAGAAAUCCAUUGGGGUCUCCCCGCACAGGUUCGAAUCCUGUCGACUGCG
rnacentral:tRNA from 1 species